CUGUGACAUCAGAUGACCACCUCCACUGUCUUCCAGCCUUGUGUAUGCACACAGGGCCAACAGGAAAGUUCACCCACUUGUUGAAGUGUGGGUGUUUAAGGAGGGAGCUUUCAUCACUGAGGUCAAAUGGAAAUACAGGAUUUGGUGCUACACAUAAUGCAGAUGUGCCUAGGCAAAGAAGAAAUUAAGCUGUAAGACUUGAUAUUUGCCAGAAUUUUGAGGGGGAAAAAAAGAGCUGUGAUGCAAAUUACUUAGAGUAAUGCAAUCCUAGAUCAUAAUUCUUACCUUCCAUCCAAAUCUGUGUAUGAACAAAUGACUGAUGCUUAAUAAACAAAAAAAUAUCCAACCCUUGCUUUUGGUUUCCCUAGGAAGGAAAAUCUGUCCUUGGUUUAACCUUAGCCAGUGUUAGAGGAGCAGUGCCUUAAGUAAACCAGCAUGAAGGACAGACUUGUUGCUGGCCUGUGGCCUUGUUACAUAUAGCACUGAGACAAACUGACAGACUUCUCCAAUACCAGUCUUCAACAGUGGAAGUUCUGGAUUCUGAUUUGAUAUUACCUGCUAUUGCAGUCAAUGGAUGUAGACUUCUUCCAGACUGACAAAAUGUGACAGUGAUGCACCCAAGACUAAGGAACUGUUGUGCAUUAUUUACCAUGUUUUAGGGUCAGCGAUGACUCAAGUAACAAGAUGGCAAUCACUGCAUCUUCCUCAAGUACUCUCUGUCUUAAACUAAGCUUGGCAUGAGCCUUAGCCAGUGAAAUCCUAAGAGAUCAAUAUAAGCAUGUCAGAAAUAAAACAUACUGCAGGCAUGAAUGCAAUGUAUAUUAUUGUCCUGUGUCAAGCACUUGUGUAAAUUAAAAGUUAACACUGGUGUGGUUUCUUUAAUAUUUCAGCUCUGCAGUUACACUUACCACUGACUAAAUAUAUAUUCUACAUUAACUUCUUGUGCUGAAAAGUGGAACUUGCAUGUUAUCCAUUAAUUCUUUUUUUGCUCCCAUAAUAAAGCUGUACAUAUUUAAAUCCCUUUUUUUUUUUUUUCUAGAUGGCUUUAAUAAUGAUACAAAUUCUGUAAAUAGCUGGGUUUAGGGUUUGCUUUUUUUUUUUGCCUGGCAAAGUUGAAUGUGGGUUUCUUUUAGCAGUGUCAAUAUAUGAAAUAAAUGGCAUUCAUAAAUAGGAAAUAAGAUUAUUUAUGCUUGAACUUUUCAAAACAUGAGUCUUAUGUAGAUUUUUAUUAAACAAGCUCCUGAGCAGAUAAGCACAAUUUCUCUU